ACUGGACCAUUGUCGUGGUCUUUGGCAUCUGCAUUUGGUUAUUUCUAUAUGGUUUCGGCUUGGGGUGGUUAUGUGUUUAUUAUCAAUUUGGUUCCGCUUUAUGUGUUGGUGUUGUUAACUGGGAGAUACUCUUUGAGACUUUAUGUUGCUUAUAAUUGUAUGUAUGUUUUGGGAAUGUUGCUUGCUAUGCAGAUUAGUUAUGCAGGGUUGUUGCAGGUUAGGAUCGGUAUCGGCGCCGGCGUGCACAUUGGAGCGUUUGGAUCGUGGCUUCGCCUUUGAAAUUGGCAGAAAUGUUAUUCAUGGAAGUGAUGCUGUUGAAAGUGCUAACAAGGAAAUUGCUCUGCGGUUCCCUAAGGGUGCUGCUAAUUGGCAAAGCAGCCUUUUGAAUCUGUCCUAUUUUGAUAUAUUAAAUUUUAUUAAGUCUGUUUUGUGUCUUGGUUUGGAUGUCAAGUCUUUAUGUUGUUUCUGUUUGAUUAUUCAAAUCGAAAUCUAGUUUUGCUUGA